GGUUGAUCCUGCCAGUAGUCAUAUGCUUGUCUCAAAGACUAAGCCAUGCAUGUCUAAGUAUAAAUGUUAUACAGUGAAACUGCGAAUGGCUCAUUAAAACAGUUAUAGUUUAUUUGAUAAUCGAAUUUACAUGGAUAACCGUGGUAAUUCUAGAGCUAAUACAUGCUGGUUAGCCUGACUUUUGCGGAAGGGCUGUAUUUAUUAGAUAACAAACCAAUAUUCCCCGUGUCUAUUGUGAUGACUCAUAAUAACUGAUCGAAUCGCAUGGGCUUUGCCCGCGAUACAUCAUUCAA
rnacentral:rRNA from 1 species